CUCAGGAUGAACGCUGGCGGCGUGCCUAACACAUGCAAGUCGAGCGAGAAUUUACAGAUUGAAGCUUCGGCAGAUUUCUGUAAAGGAAAGCGGCGGACGGGUGAGUAACGCGUGAGUAACUUGCCCUUAGGUGGGGGAUAACACAUCGAAAGGUGUGCUAAUACCGCAUAACAUAUGUUUACCGCAUGGUAGAUAUAUCAAAGAUUUAUUGCCUAAGGAUGGACUCGCGUCUGAUUAGAUAGUUGGUGAGGUAACGGCUCACCAAGUCGACGAUCAGUAGCCGAACUGAGAGGUUGAUCGGCCACAUUGGGACUGAGACACGGCCCAGACUCCUACGGGAGGCAGCAGUGGGGAAUAUUGCGCAAUGGGGGAAACCCUGACGCAGCAACGCCGCGUGAAGGAUGAAGGUCUUCGGAUUGUAAACUUUUGUCUUAUGGGACGAAAAAGGACGGUACCAUAGGAGGAAGCCACGGCUAACUACGUG
rnacentral:rRNA from 1 species